UACGUAGGAGACGAGCGUUGUCCGGAAUCACUGGGCGUAAAGCGCGUGUAGGCGGGUCCGCAAGUCUGCUGUGAAAGCUCCUGGCUUAACCGGGAGUGGUCGGUGGAAACUGCGAACCUGGAGGACGGUAGAGGUAGGUAGAAUUCCCGGUGUAGUGGUGAAAUGCGUAGAGAUCGGGAGGAAUACCUGUGGCGAAGGCGGCCUACUGGGCCGGACCUGACGCUGAGGCGCGAAGGCGCGGGGAGCGAACGGG
rnacentral:rRNA from 1 species